GCUGCGCAGAUAGGGAGGGCUGUGCAGCGCCCCUUCAGUGAAGCACCUGUCCUGCAAAGCCGGAGGAGGAACAGAAGGGUCUCCUUCUGUUCCUUCUCCAGCUUCGCUUGAAGGGGCGCUGCACAGUUCUCCCUCUCUGCGCAGC